CAGAUGUAGAAAAUGGCUGACAGCACAUUUAUUUUCUGAUGAGAUCCACAUCCAUCCUUCCUUUGUUGCCUUACAGAAAGCAUUGCUUUUGAGGUGGAGCUGCUGGGUGAAGUGGCCACAGGUGUGUCAGCUGUGGAUUACAUCAAGACUCUGCUCCUACCGGUCAUGUUACUCAUGGGCCCCGCCCCAUCUGUCAAGUCAGUGCAUGGAGUGACAGAGCGACAUCUCACCGCUGACUUUCAUUCUGCUGAGUGGAGCCUCGCAGCUGAAUCUGAUGGCAGCUCAUCACUGUUCUGCAUUUAACCUUGGUGUGUCGUCCGGUUCGGGGCCAGAUUCUCUCCUCACCUACCUCACCAUCUCCAGAAGAACCUCCGCGUUCCCCCUGGUCGGAACCAGGUUGCUAUGGGUGCCAGUUGUGCCAUACCAUCGCUCUCAGUCGUUCAUCCAGCCCCGGUAGCUCCACAGGCUCACUUCACCUGGUCCCGUCCGUCCCUGGUUGGUCCUGUUGUCCUCCUGGUCCCCGUCCUGUUGGUCUCUGGUUGGUCCCAGUCCAGUCAGUUCCUGGUCCCGGUCCAGUUGCCCUGUCUACUGUGCAGUCUCCCCUGUUUGAUUAAAUAAACGUUUGGUUGUU